GACGAACGCUGGCGGCGUGCUUAACACAUGCAAGUCGAACGGAAAGGCCCUGCUUUUGUGGGGUGCCCGAGUGGCGAACUGGUGAGUAACAAGGGAGUAAUCUGCCCUUGAUUUUGGGAUAACUUCAGGAAACUGGGGGUAAUAACGGAUAGGUGCUCCUGCUGAAUGGCGGGGGUUGGAAAGUUUCGGGGGUUGGGGAUGGACUCGCGGCUUAUCAGCUUGUUGGGGGGGUAGUGGCUUACCAAGGCAUUGCCGGGUAGCCGGGCUGAGAGGGUGACCGGCCCGAUUAGGACUGGGAUGCGACCCAGCCUCCUCCGGGAGGCAGCGGUGCGGUGUAUUACAUAAUGGGCUGAAGCAUGAUCCAGCGCAGCCGCGUGCGGGAUGACGGCCUGCGCUUUGGAAACCGCUUUCGCCUGUGACGAAGCGUGAAUGACGGUAAUGGGUUAAGAAGCACCGGCUAACUACGUG
rnacentral:rRNA from 1 species